AUUGAACGCUGGCGGCAUGCUUUACACAUGCAAGUCGAGCGGCAAUGCGGGUUUUGGCCUCGCCGCGAGUGUCAAACGGGCGUGUAAUCCUUCGCAACGUGUCCAGAUGUGGGGGAUAGCUUUGCGCAAACAGGGUUAAUACCGCAUACGAGCUGUGGGUGAAUGCGGGGGCUCUUCCGACCUCGCGCUUUUGGAGCUGGCGAUGUCAUAUUAGGAAGUUGGUGGGGUAAAGGCCUACCACGCCGACGAUCUCUAGCUGGUCUGAGAUGACACACAGCCACACUGGGAGAGAGACAGGGCCCAGACGCUAACAGGAGGCAGCAGCGGGGAAUUGUGGAGGAUGGGGGAAAGCCUGAUAGAGCAAUGACGCGUGGGUAAUGAAGGACUGCGGGUUGUAGAGCAAUUAUGGCGUAAACGAAGAAGACUGUGCCAAUACGACGGGUCGAUGACGGUACCCGAAGAAUAAGCACCGGCUAACUACGUG
rnacentral:rRNA from 1 species